UACGUAGGUGGCAAGCGUUGUCCGGAUUUACUGGGUGUAAAGGGCGCGUAGGCGGGUAGGCAAGUCAGAUGUGAAAUACCGGGGCUUAACUCCGGGGCUGCAUUUGAAACUGUUUAUCUUGAAUAUCGGAGAGGCAGGCGGAAUUCCUAGUGUAGCGGUGAAAUGCGUAGAUAUUAGGAGGAACACCAGUGGCGAAGGCGGUCUGCUGGACAGCAACUGACGCUGAGGCGCGAAAGCGUGGGGAGCAAACAGG
rnacentral:rRNA from 1 species